CCGCACGCGCGCUACACUGACACAUGCAACGAGUUCUCCUUGUCCGAAAGGUCUGGGUAAUCUUGUAAAAGUGUGUCGUGAUAGGGAUAGAUUAUUGCAAUUAUUAAUCUUGAACGAGGAAUUCCUAGUAAAUGCGGGUCAUCAGCUCGCGUUGAUUACGU
rnacentral:rRNA from 1 species